GUGGAUAUCCAGCUUUGAGAAGAAUUAGAUUCAUGAUUAGUCUACUUGUGCGUCCAUUGCCAUCAACAAACGGGCUUCUUCUGAAUUCAGCCACUCCACAUAAUUCUCCAUCAAAGAAGGGAUUUCCUCAUGUGGGGGUGGAACGUGACUCCCAAUGAAAACCUGCAACAAAUAAAAGGACGUAGAAAUUCAACGGUUAUGUCCCAGAGAUUGAAGAAGCUGCUAGAAGAGAACAGAAUCCUUGCGACGUUGCCUUGCCACGCUAUGUCAAAUUUGAAUUUGGAUCCUCAAAUUCUCCAUACACCGUUUCUUUGCCAUGCAAGUGGGUGUUAUUUAAAAUGCUCAUAAGGUGAUUCUGUUUUUAUUCGUUUUCUAAUUAAAGAUUUUAUAAGUUACUAGAAUGGCAGUAUGUAUGACAAGGAAUGUAUCACAAAAUUACUGCUGGACGUUAUUGUUACUUUGUGUGUAUAAUACAUAUAAAAUUAUUUUGUAGUUAACAAUUGUUAUUUAUUGUUUUCAAAAGUGUUCAAAAACCUGGUAUUAUUUACUGAUUGAUCAUACAAGUUCAUCAUAUGAGCUGAAAGAAAAAUGCCGUGGACAUACACUUAUCUACGGUUUAAUCUUAAAACUUGUUAUGCGUUAUUUGAACUGCGAUUAUAGCUUUUCGCAAUACAUUUCUUCUUAUAUAGUAUAGAUGUUCUGAGAUUAGUAAUAGAGGGCUUAUCCGAGUAA